rnacentral:lncRNA from 1 species
AUAUAUAUAUAUUUGUUGAAGUUGUGAGGUCGGCAUUUUCUUCCCAGGUUAGCAAGUUAAGGAGAAGAUUAAUAAAUGAAAAAUAGACAAGGUCGGACUAACAUUUCAGGUCGGAUAGGACAUGAGGUCAGAGGAUACACGAUUCAUAGCCAUCCAACUCUGUUGCAGAGCAACGCCCCUCAAGUAUCAGAGCAACCUGGAGAUAAUAGGAAAUAAUCAAAUAUCCAGGCAAGGUGGAUAAGCUCCGACGCGGUAUGCCGUCCAGCUCAAAGACAAGGUGACGAUCCAAUGUCGCGUCCAGCCAUGGGUGUUACCGGCGAAGCCCGAAACCGUGCGUUGCAACAAUAGAGAAAGCUCGGUCACCUCGAGGACGGGGAAGACAACCCAGCUGAAAAGAAAGACCCAGCUGGUUCAAGA